rnacentral:rRNA from 1 species
UACGGGGGAGCAAACGUUGUUCGGAAUCACUGGGCGUAAAGGGCGUGUAGGCGGCUGAAUGAGUGGGAUGUUAAAUCCCCCGGCUCAACCGGGGAACUGCAUCUCAUACUGUUCAGCUUGGGUACAGCAGAGGAGACUGGAAUUCCCGGUGUAGCGGUGAAAUGCGUAGAUAUCGGGAGGAACAUCAGUGGCGAAGGCGGCCUUCUGGUCCAGUACUGGACACUCAAGUGCGAAAGCGUGGGGAGCAAACAGGGAGUUAAGAAA